rnacentral:lncRNA from 1 species
GCAGCUGCGCGGCGUCCUUGGAGGCAGGUGCUGGCGGCAAGACGAGCUCUCGGAGGAUGCUGCGGCGCGGGGCGCGUCGCCCCCCUCAGUCCACCAGAGCCCGGAUACCUCAGAAAUUCGGCUCUGGGUCUGUGGGGAGCGAAAUGCAACCCAAACCCCGUUUUUCGAACCCCGCGCAAAUAAACACGCACAAGCACGCACACAGACGUCGCGCGGCGGCGCUCGCGCGCAGGUCCAGCCGCGGCUGGGUCGGGCGCGGCGGCCGGGCGCGAGGGAAGAGCCCAGGCCCGAGAGGGGUCGCCGCUUACGUCUCGCAGCCCGAGGGGAGGCCGCUCGGCCUCGGCCGCUCACAGGCGCGACGUAAAGGCCCGGCGUCACCGGCCCGGCUUAACGGUGCAACGGCUGGCCUGGGCCUGCAACUCUGGGGUCCCGGCCGGGCUGGAGCGGCCGCCGGAGAGACCUGUUCACUGCAUUCGGUUCUUGCGGUCCUUUCUUAAGCGGCUCGCAGGGUCCCGAGCCCCUCAGCUCCCCGGGCCUCGGUGGCCCAGGGCCCAGCUCAGCCGACUGGGCAGUCGAUGUAGGUCCUGAGAAGAGCGGCGGCGGCGGCGGCGGCGGCGGCGAAGGAAAAGCGACACUGAAGCGAAGGCUCGCGGUUUCGGCCUAAAGGAAAGUGCAGGGGAGGCCCGGGUCUCGGGUGACACCCCCACGCCUUGAGCGGGACUGUGGUUGCGAGGGAGGGACGAGAAAACACGCCUACGCCCUGCGUGCGCUGUGCUGACUACCUCUCCAGCAUGGAGGCUUCCAGAUGAGCAGACACCCGAAUCCCAGCGGGAGCCCGUCAAAAAUGGAGAUUUCUGCCGUCACUCUGGGACUCUUAAUUCGGUCCGUCUGGGGUGGGGCCCAGGAAUCUGCAUUUCUGAUAAGGUCACCCGCUCCCCUCCCCCAUUAUUCCAGUGCAAAGAGGUCCUAGGCCCAGUGCCCAUCAGCUCCUCAAGACAGGAAUUACUAUAUCUUUUUCUGACAACUGUUAACUUUGUACAAGGUUAGCAAAUAAAUCCAGGAAUGAAUGGAAUCUUAAAACUCGUAAAACAACAAUGAAAGGUAAUUCACACAAAAGAUACAAAAUCCAAAAUUGUCAAAAAAGAUACAGGGAAAAGUAAACAUCCAUGUUAUUCCUAUAGUCCAGCCUUGCAAUUCUCUCCACAAGCCAUUAGUGGUAAUGGUUUCUUGGAAAUAUUUUCAGAUUUAUUUUAUGCCCAUAUCAGCAUUUUUAACAUCUUUUGUCAUAAAUAUGUCGUAAAUAACAAUGUUAUUGAUACAUAUCCUUUUAAAAACACAAUGGUAGUAUGCUAUACUGGCUUGUUUUACUUAUGAAUAUAUGUAGAGCUGCCUCGUUCCAUUGUACGUAUGUAUGGUAAUGAUUUAACAGUCCCUAAUAGCUGGACAUUUAGAUUGCCAGUAUUUUCCUAUUACAAACAAUGCAUCAGUGAACAUCCUUGUUCUUUUAUUAUUGUACACAAGUACAGGUACAUCUAUCUGUAGGAUAGAUUCCUAGAAAGUUGAAUUGCUGGUUCAAAGGUUUGUGCGUUCUUAAUCUGUACAUUUUUUAAUAUAUAUUGGCAAAUUGCCCCAUAGAGAUUGUAUCCAUUUUUCUCUCCUUAGCAAUGUGUGAGAGUGCCUGUUUCCCCACAACUCACAAAAGGUGGUUUCUAGCUGUGAUUUUAAUUCGUCUCUUAUAUUGAUUUUUUAAAAUUUGUAUUUAUAUUAUUAUUAUUAUUAUUUGAGACAGGGUCUUGUUCUGUUGCCCAGACUGGAGUGCAGUGGCACUAUCACAGCUCAUUGCACCCUCAACGUCCUGGGCUCAAGCAGUGCUUCCACCUCAGCCUCCCAAAUAGUUGGAAGUACAGGCACAUGCCAACACACCCGGCUAAUUUUAAAAUUUUUUGUAGAGAUGGGGGUCACUCUAUGUUGUCUAGGCUGGUCUUGAACUCCUGGACUCAAGAAAUCCUCCCAUCUUGGCCUCCCUAAGUGCUGGGAUGACAGACAGGAGCUACUACGCCUGGACUGUGUCUUUUAUUAUGAAUCAAGAUGAGUACCUUUCCAUACAGAGAAUAAUUUGUAAUUUUUUUCCUGUGAUUUAUCUGUUCUUGAGUUGUGUUCAUUUUUCUGUGGUAUGAUGGAAAACAGCCCUUUGUGAUAUAUGUUACACUUAUUCUUUUUCAGUCUUUUUGUCGUUUGACUUUGUUUAUGGUAUUUUGUUUUGUUUUUCUGUCUUACAGAAAUUCAUGAUUCAUGUAUUUGGAUUUAUCAGUCUUUUAUGGCUUCUAGGUUUGGGGCCAUAAUACACUCAGAUUAUUAAGUUAUUUCUUUAAUGGCUUUAUUUUUAUGGUUUUGUUUAUCUUUGCUUCAUCUGGAAUGUGUUUUUGUAUAAGGAGUGAAGUGGAAGUUUUGUCCCAAAAUCACUUUUAAUGAACACUCCUUCUUUUCUACACGAUGUCAUUUGAAAUGCCACAUUUAUAAUUUUUUUUUUUGAGACAGAGUCUUGCUCUGUUGCCCAGGCUGGAGUGCAGCGGCACAAAUCUCAGUUCACUGCAACCUCCACCUCCCAGGUUCAAGCAAUUCUCUUGCCUCAGCCUCCUGAGUAGCUGGGAUUACAGGUGCAUGCCACUACGCCCGGCUAAUUUUUGUAUUUUUAGUAGAGACGGGGUUUCGCUAUGUUGGCCAGGCUGGUCUGGAACUCCUGAGCUCAGGCGAUCCAUCUGCCUCUGCCUCCUAAAGUGCUGGGAUUACAGGCAAGAGCCACCACAUCCGGCCCACAUUUAUAAUUUUCUAAAUUCCCACAUGCAUAUGGGUUUCUGGAUUCUCUGCUGCAUAUGGGUUUCUGGAUUCUCUGCUCUAUUCCACUGACUUUUCUGUUAAUUUUGAUUCACCAGAACUGUGCUGUUUUACCAUUUAGUAGGGUCAGUCCUUGUAGGGUCCAGCCCCACAGGGUCAGUGGGUUUUCGCCCCAUGUGUGGAGACGAGAGAUUGUAGAAAUAAAGACACAAGACAAAGAGAUAAAAGACAGCUGGGCCUGCGGGACCACUACCACCAAGAUGCGGAGACCAGUAGUGGCCCGAAAUGCCAGGCUGCGCUGAUAUUUAUUGGAUACAAGACAAAGGGACAGGGUAAGGAGUGUGAGCCAUCUCCAAUGAUAGGUAAGGUCACAUGGGUCACGUGUCCACUGGACAGGGGGCCCUUCCCUGCCUGGAAGCCGAGGCAGAGAGAGAGGGAGAGAGGAGACAGCUUGUGCCAUUAUUUCUGCAUAUCAGAGACUUUUAGUACUCUCAGUAAUUUGCUACUGCUAUCUAAAAGGCAGAGUCAGGUGUACAGGAUGGAACAUGAAAGCAGACUAGGAGCGUGACCAGUGAAGCACAGCAUCACAGGGAGAUGGUUAGGCCUAGUCAGGCCCUCCACAAGAGGUAAAGGAGUAGAGUUGUCUCUAAACUCCCCUGGGGAAAGGGAGACUCCCUUUCCCAGUCUGCUAAGUAGCAGGUGUUUUUCCUGGACAGCGACGCUACCGCUAGACCAUGGUCUGCUUGGCAACGGGCGUCUUCCGAGACGCUGGUGUUACCGCUAGACCAAGGAGCCCUCUGGUGGCCCUGUCUGGGCAUAACAGAAGGCUUGCACUCUUGUCUUCUGGUCACUUCUCACUAUGUCCCCUCAGCUCCUAUCUCUGUAUGGCCUGGUUUUUCCUAGGUUAUGAUUAUAGAGUAAGGAUUAUUAUAAUAUUGGAAUAAAGACUAAUUGCUACAAACUAAUGAUUAAUGAUAUUCAUAUAUAAUAUCUAUGAUCUAUAGUAUAACUAUUCUUAUUUUAUAUAUUUUAUUAUACUGGAACAGCUCAUGCCCUCGGUCUCUUGCCUCAGCACCUAGGUGGCUUGCCACCCACAAGUCCUCUCUUGUUACUCUUUUGUUUUUUUAAACAUUUUUCUACUCAUUCUUGAAUUAUUAUUUUUCCUCAGUGAAUAAUAAUAGCACUUAUUUGGCAUUUGUUAUAUGACAGGUACUAUUCUCAGUGCUCUAUGUAUCUUCAUUUAAUCCUCCUGACAGCCCUACCAGGCAGAUACUAUUAUCCCCUUUCAUGGAAGAGGCAUCUGAGACAGAGAGGUUAAGUAACUUGUGCAAGGAUACACAGCUAAUAAGCAACAAGCCUGGAUGAGAACCCAGAAAGGCUGGGUCUAUGGGUAAAACCACAAUUCCUUAUCAUCUUUUCACAUGAGCUUUAGCUACAGCUAGUCUGGCUCUAAUUUUAGGAGGUAUUUUUGUUGGAGUCAUGUUAUAUUUAUAGAUUAAAAUAGAAUUGGGCCAGGUGCUGUGGCUCAUGUCUGUAAUACCAGCACUUUGGGAGGCCAAGGCAGGUGGAUUACUUGAGGCCAGGAGUUUGAGAUGAGUUUGGCCAACGUGGCGAAACCCCGUCUCUACAAAAAAUAUAAAAAUUAGGUGGGCAUGUUGGCACAUGCCUGUAAUCCCAGCUGCUUGGGAGGCUGAGGCACGAGAAUCGCUUGAACCUGGGAGGUGGAGGUUGCAGUGAGCUGAGAUCGCACCACUGCACUCUAGCCUGGGUGACAGAGCCAGAUGAGAGAGAGAGAGAGAGGGAGGGAGGGAGGGAGGAGAGGGAGGGAGGGAGGAGGGGGAGGGAGAGAGGGAGGGAGGGAGGGAAGAGAGGAGAGAGAGAGAGAAAAUGAGAAUUGAACUAAUUAGGAUGUUGAGUCUUCCUGUGUAAGAGCAGCAGGAGGAAAUAAAGAACAGCUAUGCCUUUUCAUUUUCAGUCCUGUGCUCUUCUGGAGUGUGUUAAAUAUAAAUCUUGAUUUUUUUAACUUUAUUUCCAGAUAGUUUAUCUUUUUUGUUGGAAUCCUUUCCUCCACUAUAUUUUGUAACUGGUUAUUAUUUAUAUAUAAGAAGGCUUUUGAUAUUUUAAAUAAUUUUAUAUCUCAUUAAAUUAUCUUACUAUUUAAAAUAGUUUUUCAGUUCUAAAUCACAAUGAGAUACCACUUCACACCCAGUAGGAAGGCUGUAAUAAAAAAGACGACAAUACAAGCAUUGGCAAGGAUUGGAACCCUCAUUCAUUGCCAGUGGGGAUGUAAAAUGUGUGGCCUCUUUGGAAAACAGUUUGGCAAUUCCUCAAAAAAUUAAAUAUUAGAGUUACCAUAGGACCCAGCAAUUCCACUCCUAGGCAUAUCCCCAAGAGAACUAAAAACAUGUCCACACAAAAAUGUGUAUAGGAAUAUCCAUAACAACAUUAUUUUUGUUGCGGUGGUUGAGACAGGGUCUCGCUGUGUUGUCCACGCUGGAGUGCAGUGGAGUGCAGUGGCAUGAUCACAGCUCACUGCAGCCUCGACCUCCUGAGCUGAAGGGAGCCUCCCAUCUCAGCCUCCCAAGUAGCUGGGACUACAGGCGUGCACCACCAUGCUUGGCUAAUUUUUGUAUUUUUUGUAGAGAAUGGGUUUCACCGUGUUACCCCAGGCUGGUCUCGAACUUCUGGGCUCGAGUGAUUCGCCUGCCUCAACCUUCCAAAGUGCUGGGAUUACAGGUGUGAACCACCAUGCCCGGCUAGCAUUGUUUUUAAUAACCAGAAAGUAAAAAUAAUCCAAAUGUCCAUCAAAUGAUGAUUGGAUACACAAGAUCUGGUAUACCUAUUUGAUGAAAUAUUAUUCAGCAAAAAAAGGAAUGAAGUAGUGAUUCAUGUUACAAUAUUAAUAAGCCUUGAAAACAUGCUAAAUGAAAGAAGCCAAUCACAAAAGACCACAUAUUGUAUGAUUCCAUUUAUAUGAAAUGUCUAAAAUAGGCAAAUCCAUAGAGACAGAAAGUAAAUUAGCGGUUGCCAGGAAUUGGGAAUGGGGAGAAUGUGAAGUGACUGACUGCUAAUGGGUAUGGGGUUUCUUUCUGGGAUGAUGAAAAUGUUCUGGAAGUAGUGGUGAUAGUUGCACAACUGUGAAUAUACAAAAAUCCAUUGUAUUAUACACUUUUCAAAUGGGUGAAUUUUAUGAUAAGUGAGUUAUAUCUCAAUUUAAAAAAGGAAAAAUAGUUUUUCAGUUGACUAAGUUGUGUUAUCUAGAAAUAGCCUCAAAUUAUAAGUUUACUUUUUCCUUUCUAAUUUUUAUGCUUACUAUUAUUUUUCUUGUAAUAGCAUUAGCUAGUACAGUAAUCCAGAAAAUGUUAAAUAAUUUUUCAUGAUAAUGGUGAUAGUGGACUUCUUUGACUUGUUCCUGGUCAUUAUAGAAAUAGAAAUGCUUCUUCACUAAGCAUGAUGCUGGCUUUUGGGGUUGGUGUGGCAUGAGCACACACAUGUUUUAUCACAUUAAGAAAAUACCUAUCCCUAUUUCUUUAUAAUCUAUGGAGAUUUUUCUUUGAUCUCAUAUUGCGUGAUAUAUUAACAGAUUUUGUAAUAUUUAACUCAUUUUACAUUCUUGAAAUGAUCCUACCUGGUUGUGGUGUAUACUUAUUUUAAUAUUCUAACAUUUUACAAUUUUUGCAUAGUUAGAAAAAUUGACAUUUAUUUAUCAUAAAAUGAAUAGCAUGUACAGCAUUGUUUGUAAUGGCUCCCAAAUUGGAAAUAAUCUAGAUGUUCAUCAAUAAUAGUCUGUUUAAAGAAAGUGUGGUAGAGACAUAGAAUUAAAUACAACGCAGACAUUUUAAAAAUGAGAAAUAUCUAUAUAUAUUGCUAUAUCCAAGAAUAUCCAAGAUUAUGUGAAAAAAGAAGAUAUGCAGAUGAAUAUUUUAAAUGAGAUUCCAUUUGUGUUAAAUAAUGCCCAUAGUAACAGUAGAAAUUAUGUAUGUUUACUCCUAUCACUGUGCAUGCAUAGAUGAUUUCCCGAAAGAUAUUCAAACAAUUAACAGUGGUUACUUUAGGGUAAUGCUGGUUUGGGGGAAGCAGUGGUAUGAAGGGAGGGAGCAUUCCUUUUUACUGUAUACCUGUAUGUAAUGUUUCAGGUUUUUUCUUAAUAAGCCAUCUUACCUUUAUAAUAAAAAGUUAAUUUUUAAAAAGUUAAAGGUCGGCCAGUUGCGGUGGCUCAUGCCUGUAAUCCCGGCACUUUGGGAGGCCGAGGCGGGUGGGAUCACCUAAGGUCGGGAGUUUGAGACCAGCCUGACCAACAUGGAGAAACCCCGUCUCUACUAAAAAUACAAAAUUAGCUGGGCGUGGUGGCGCAUACCUGUAAUCCCAGCUACUCGGGACACUGAGACAGGAGAAUCGUUUGAACCCAGGAAGUGGAGGUUGCAGUGAGCCAAGAAUGCACCACUGCACUCCAGCCUGGGCAACAAGAGCAAAACUCUGUCUCAAAAAAAAAAAAAAUUUUUUUUUAAUGCUAAAGAGGAAGGAAAAAAGAGUACCUACGUGUUCCUGGAUCACCUUCACACAGGUAGCUCUAAUACUGCUUAUCCAUUAAAGAUUUCUCAAACUUGGUUUUUAAAAAACAUUUAUUGACCCCUUAUGCUCUACUAUAUGCCUGAUUUCAGUGAUUAAUAAGCCCAUUAGGAGCCCAUCUGUUAAGCAUCUCUAGGAACUCCUCCUGAUACUAUUGGAGA